rnacentral:rRNA from 1 species
CAGCCGCCACGGGAAUACGAGGGGGGCAAGCGUUGUUCGGAAUUAUUGGGCGUAAAGGGCGCGUAGGCGGUUUGACAAGUCUGAUGUGAAAUCUAUGGGCUCAACCCAUAGCCUGCAUUAGAAACUGUCGGGCUUGAGUAUGGGAGAGGUGAGUGGAAUUUCCGGUGUAGCGGUGAAAUGCGUAGAUAUCGGAAGGAACACCUGUGGCGAAAGCGGCUCACUGGACCAUAACUGACGCUGAGGCGCGAAAGCUAGGGGAGCAAACAGGAUUAGAUACCCGAGUAGUCCCUGUCUCUUAUAA